UACAGAGGGUGCGAGCGUUGUCCGGAAUCACUGGUCGUAAAGGGCGCGUAGGUGGCGAGCCAAGUCCAUGGUGAAAGCUCGAUGCUCAACAUCGAGUCGGCCACGGAUACUGGUGCGCUUGAGCACUGUAGAGGCUAAUGGAAUUCCGGGUGUAGCGGUGGAAUUCGUAGAGAUCCGGAAGAACACCGGUGGCGAAGGCGGUUAGCUGGGCAGUUGCUGACACUGAGGCGCGAAAGCGUGGGGAGCAAACAGG
rnacentral:rRNA from 1 species